CCUACGGGUGGCAGCAGUGAGGAAUAUUGGUCAAUGGACGCAAGUCUGACCCAGCCAUGCCGCGUGAGGGAAGACGGCUCUAUGAGUUGUAAACUGCUUUUGUACGGGGGUAAACGCAGUUACGUGUCUCUGUCUGAAUGUACCGUAUGAAUAAGGAUCGGCUAACUCCGUGCCAGCAGCCGCGGUAAUACGGAGGAUGCAAGCGUUAUCCGGAUUUAUUGGGUUUAAGGGGUGCGUAGGCGGUCCGAUAAGUUAGAGGUGAAAUCCCGCGGCUCAACCUCGGAAGUGCCUCUGAUACUGGUGGACUAGAGAGUAGAUGAGGUAGGCGGAAUGUAUGGUGUAGCGGUGAAAUGCUUAGAGAU
rnacentral:rRNA from 1 species